rnacentral:lncRNA from 1 species
UAUGAUCCAAUUGAGUCGUAUAGGAACGCUUUCCUUUAUUACGCUCGAUACUUCGGCUGAAGAUUCCCGAAUCAUAUCUUAGAGUAUUCUUCCUCUCUUAUCGAGGAUUAGAGAUUCCUUGUUGCGCAUACACUUGCCUUCAUGACUAAGUGGCUUAACCCCAACUAUGCCGUUGACAUUCUGAUAGAGUGACUUCGACAUAAUCAAAGAUUAAGUACUUAACCACAAGACAACGACGAUGCCUCAGGUCAAAGGAUUACUUACAUUAUUCCAACCAUUUGAGUUACUUGCUUGACAUUUAAGUAGACCUCCAUGCAAGUACUCUGAUUUGAUUGUAUUCAGUGAACUCAUUCCCUUAAUGAGCACAUACAUACUUGUCUUAGUGUCACAACACGAAUGGGUUGAGACUUUCCAUCCUUCCAAUUGAAGCGGACACAGC